GACAGAGGCCUCGAGCGUUAGGCGGAAUCACUGGGCUUAAAGCGUGUGUAGGCGGAUCGUUAAGUACCUUGUGAAAUCCCACGGCUCAACCGUGGAACGGCUGGGUAUACUGGCGGUCUUGGGCCAUUCAGGGGCGACUGGAACAAGCGGUGGAGCGGUGAAAUGCGCAGAUAUCAGGAAGAACACCCGUGGCGAAGGCGGCUCUCUGGGACGGUACUGACGCUGAGACGCGAAAGCGUGGGGAGGCGAACAGG
rnacentral:rRNA from 1 species